rnacentral:rRNA from 1 species
UACGUAGGGGCCUAGCGUUGUCCGGAUUUAUUGGGCGUAAAGAGCUCGUAGGCGGUUCGGUAAGUCAGGUGUGAAAUCUCCACGCUCAACGUGGAGGCGCCACCUGAAACUGCCGUGACUAGAGUCCGGUAGGGGAGUGUGGAAUUCCCGGUGUAGCGGUGAAAUGCGCAGAUAUCGGAGGAACACCAGUGGCGAAGGCGGCACUCUGGGCCGGUACUGACGCUGAGGAGCGAAAGC